rnacentral:lncRNA from 10 species
CAUAGAUGGAAUGCACUGAGCAAGGGGAAUGUGACAAGAGUUGAUGCUAAGGAAGCGGCCUGGGCUAAAUCAUGCGUGGACUUGCAGACCAAGGAGCUGUCAAAUUGUUUUCCACAGUGGUUGAACCAUUUUCCAUUCCCACCAGCAUUGCACAAGGAUUCCAACUUCUCAUCAUUCUUGCCAACACUUAUUUUUCAUUAAAAACUAUAGCCAUUCCAUGGAUGUGAAGUCAUAUCUCAUUGUGAUUUUGAUUUGUAUUUCUCUAAUGGAUAAUGAUGUUGAACAUCUUCUCAUGUGCUUGUUAACCAUUUGUGUAUCUUCUCUGAAGAAAUGUCUAUUCAAGUCAUUGACCCAUUUUUAGUUUGGUUUUUAAAAUCUUUCUGUGGUUUAGCUGUAAUCAUUUUUAUAUAUUCUAGGUGCUGGACUCUCUCAGACAUAUGAUUUGUGAAUUUUUCUCCUAUUCUGUAGGUUGUCUUUUCACUUUCUUGAUGAGUUCAUUAGUCCUUUUAAUUUUAACUCUUCUAAUACACAUGUAAUGGUAUAAAUUUUUGGCUUCAAUUUACAUUUUUCUAAUGACUAAUGUUAAAUAACCAUGUGCUUAUUUGCCAUCCAUAUGUCUUCUUUAAUGAAGUGUCUGUUCAAACAUUUUGCCAAC